UCACCCUCCUCCCAUGUAGGUGCUGCUGGGGCUACUGUCUGAGCUUGGAGAUACACAAUGUUUUCCAGGAGGGUCCAGAGCUGCUUUUUCAUCCUUCUCGUUCUUGAACCUGCAGCUCAGCGACAGCGGAGUCUACAAUGUCAUCUUCAAAGAACCACAGCAAACCAGACACAUCACAUUAACUGUAUCUGAACCUCAUUUCAACAAUGGAAACUCAGAUACUGCUCCAGAAGAGGAAAGAGCUGCUGGUCCUUACAGCACAUAGAAAAAAAUAAUAGUCACACAAUAUUCAAUAUUUAGAAAAGACAUUCUAAAUUCCCUCCUGAAAACAGGGCCGCCCAGAGGAUUCAGGGGGCCUGGAGGG